GAAACCCUAAUGUAUACGUAUAGAUCCCAUGAUUUAUUGAACCGAACAAUUUUUGUUACCUUGGGAACUCGGCGUUCGGACGCGGCGCAAAAGCCUUUACACGAGGACUUGCAAAACGCUCGACAGAGUACCCACCUGCUUAUACGGCGGGUUCAAAGGAAGGGGCUCCAAACGGUACGAUUGGGGUUUCU
rnacentral:other from 1 species